rnacentral:piRNA from 1 species
UUACAGUGUGUACAUGUGUUUACACAUGCC